UACGAAGGGGGCUAGCGUUGUUCGGAAUACUGGGCGUAAAGCGUGCGCAGGCGGUGAUGUAAGACAGGUGUGAAAUCCCCGGGCUUAACCUGGGAACUGCAUUUGUGACUGCAUCGCUGGAGUGCGGCAGAGGGGGAUGGAAUUCCGCGUGUAGCAGUGAAAUGCGUAGAUAUGCGGAGGAACACCGAUGGCGAAGGCAAUCCCCUGGGCCUGCACUGACGCUCAUGCACGAAAGGCGUGGGUAGCAAACAGG
rnacentral:rRNA from 1 species